UUAGGCUUGAAAUUCCAAACAAUAGUUUAGGAGCAAAAAGAGCUUUUGAGUUGACUUCAAGUCCAACUUCAUUAUUUGAUGAAUGAGGAAACUGAGUGGGAAGAAGUGAAAUGAGUAGUUCUGAGUUUCACAUUAAUUUGCAGGAGAAUUCAGGGUUCCAGUGAUUUCUCUUAUAACCAUGCUCCUGGAGAGGACUGUCUUUGACAGGUGACACAGAAGAAAAUGACAUAUGCAGACUAUUUACUCACUUAUCUUCAUAUACAAAUAAAAUAUGGCCUAUUUUUGCUUUUGCAAUUAUGUGAAGCACCUUUGAUUCUUGAGUCAUAGCCCCAUAGCUAAAGCUGCUUGGUGACCAUCUUGAAAGGAAGCACAAAAUCCCCAAGGCUAUACUUCUUGCUCAGAAUUUUACUAUAUAGAAUUCCACUGCAGGAAAAUCUAUGAAGAGUUCACUGAAAAUCGAACAGCUUCUAAGAUUAAACUAGCAAAAUAUAUUUAGUUCCUCUUGUACUAUUUUUUAGAUUAAAAUCAGUGAAACAUACACUUCAAAAGGUAUUUCAGGUUUUACCGAACCCACUGUGCUUCCAGAAUAAUGAAAAACAUCUAUCAAAUAGUCUAACUUUAGAUUCUAGAGUUUAGAAGAUAAGAGAACAGUGAUGAGGAAAAUGAUUGCAUAGGCAUGGCAGUGGUGUGGGGUGGUGCUAAUAAUUAUUUCACUUGCAGUGGACAGGCAUCCAAGGAUAUUCCGGGCAAGUCUCAUUUUCUGAGGCGCAUUCUAGUCUUAUGAAGGCACCGUAGCUAAUUUUUUUGAGAUAUAUUUGAGAUUGGACUCUGGUGUUGAGUUGUUCUGAAUAUGUGGCAGCAUAAUGACAUACUAUCUGGAAUUUUAGGCUCCCCUUUAAUGUGCAAGUGAUCAAAUUUACCAUUUCCACUAGAUGGCAUUAGAAACUUCUGAAGCCAAGAGCUAAUUGACUAGUCACCUUUGUUAUGCUGUAAAUUACACCUGCACAUUUUAAGAGGUAGUUGGCAUUCGGCUUUCUGGUGUGUUUUAACUCUUAUACCAGGUACAUGGUUAAGGCAUUGGUAUCGGGUCUCUCCCUCAACAUAAAUAGUUGCUGGGAUUAUCAAAAUGUCACUCCACAUCUCAUAUUAAAAGCAAGUGUUUUGGAAGCAACAUACACCCUCACCCCACGGUAAAUCAAAACCAAGUAAUACUACCUCCUCCUGUCCUAGCUAGGUAAUCAGUUUAGAGCAAACAUAUUAGGUGAAAAGGGUAAACCAAAACUUGUAUUUUCCCAGCAUUCAGGGGAAUUUUUGUUUGUUUCUUUUGAACAGGAUGCCACAUUUCAAACAGGAGGGGGCCAAGAGAAAAUCUGAAGAUUUGUCAGCUGCUUCUAGCGGUUGUUAUAGAGGAACUGUUGAUACCUUUACCUCUGGUGUGUAUAAGAAGAAAAUGUCUGUUCUGGAAGGCUCAUGGAGUCUCUUUAUGCUUAAAUUGAGCAUUGCUGGAGAGCAAGACUCUUCCUGAUCAACAUGGGUCCACCAGAGGCACAUUGGAAAUGUGAUAGAAAACGGCUGCCAAUUCAAAAGCAGGAAAAGAGCAAACCCACAUAUACAGCAAGAGAGCUGUGAGCUGGACUGGCUCCCAGCAGAAGUGAGACUGGGAAUCUUGGAUUCAGAUUGGUUGCCUCUUCUCUCCUCUGUGAUGUGGCAGAAGAUGUCAGCACCUAUGCUUGAACUUAGUCAUUACUGCUUACUUCCCAAACGUUUCCCAGCUCUCUGACUCCCUCGAGUCUUAGCUUCCUCAUUUGUGAGUUAGAGAUGAUGGGCUCUUCAUACUGAGGCUAUUGUGAGGGCUCAAUGGAAGCACCAAGCACGGAUCCUGGGAUACAGUAGGUGCUUCAUAAAUGCAAACCAGCAUGAACAUGAACUAUAUUCCUGCCUGCCCCCUCAUGAUGCCUGGUCUCUGGCAGCUGGUCUCUGGUGCUCUGGGCUCACUGAGACCUGGCAGUUUUCCCAGAGUGGCACUAAAUCCAUGUCUGUCUUUGGUGUCUUGGUACUUAAGUGUUCUGUGCCACCAGUUCCCUUCCAGCCACAGAUCCUGGCUCACUCUGACAGAACCUUGUUUCUGCUAGUAGUCAUGCUUAAAAAGGGGCUAAUGACCACUCAAGUGUGAGAUGAUGAUUUAUGAAUGCCAUCCCUCCAUACAGUGUUUGCAAUAUUGCAGGUUUUGCUUUUAUUUUAUUUGGCACUAGAAAGGCAUCAAGAAUAAAAGGAAACUCUCUAAAAUGGUGGAAUAUAAGC